UUUUCAAUUUCAGAAUAUCUACAUACGUAAAUAUAGAGCUGUCUUUCCGUUUUCACGACAUUAAUUUAUUCUGGAUUCAUUACAUAUAUUUGAUUGACAGAGAGAAGAAGCGGCAUCAGGAUUAACAUAAGAAAAUCACUGCAUUAAUUAUAAAGUGUGUUUUAUUUUAUAUAUUAUUUUAUAUAUCAUGGUUCGAGAAAAAUAUUUCAUUUUAAUAUUUUUCAGAAUGAUGCAAUUUAAUCCCUUGAAUGUUAUAAUGUUACUCUAUACAACUUUCAUUGCUCUUAACUUUCCACAAAGUCCGAUAACUCCAAAAGAAGUAGAAGUGAAGGAGAAGAUUGAAUAUUUGUUAAAAGAAAUAGAAAAUGAGGAAUUUGAAAUAUAAGAGGAAGAAACUUUAGAUUUUUACAAUACAUAUGAAGUUCCAGAAGCGGAAAAUAUUGAUUUAUUAGAGAAAAAUGAAAGAAAAGAAUAUCUCCCGGAAGAAGUUAUUUGUAGCUCCGUUGAAGCAGGAAUAUCAAAUGAUUAUAAAAGGCAAGCUGUGAAAUACUGGAAGAGCGGUAAAACAGGAGCAAGAUCGCUUGAAGGAGUUAAAAGAAGAUACAGAAAAGUAACAUCGAUGCGACAAUUACGACGAUGGAAGGACCAAAUCAGUGCAGGAUAAUUAUUCAUGACAUUGACAUUGCUCGAUGGGCUUCUCGAGCACAAGAAGAGAAAAAUGUGGUAGGAUUCAAAGCUUCCGAAACAUUUAGAAGAUAAGUGUAAUACAUUUAUUGAAAAUGUAAAAUAUUAUAUUGAACGAUACGGCGUAGACAAUGUUUAUAAUUCGGAUCAGAGUGGAUUCCAACUUGAAUUUCACUCUGGUCGUACUUUAUCCCAAAAAGGUCUAAAAAAUAUAGAAGCUGUAAUACAAUCUACAUCAGCAACCAUACACAGUUAUACUAUACAGCCGACUAUUUCUGCAGAUGGUAAAAAAUCUAAGGUAUCCUGAAAGUAUAACGUUUGUGAACGCACCCAAAAUCGGGACUACUGAUAGGAUCCACUAGAUGCUUCGAAGCGCCGGAUAAAGACCACUCUUUGUACGCAGAAUACGCACAGAUUCGACGGCUGGAUAAAAAAGAGCGUGAAACGUAGGAAGAAUAACAGCAGUAAGUUUUACGUAAUUCACAUUAUCUUUGUAGUGUUCUUAUAUAGUAUUCCUGCAACGGCUACGUAGCGUCAGAUAUACGAGAUUUUGGAGCAUUUCGUCCAUAGACCUUAUAUAUAUGGACUGGUCAUACAUAGCAGAUCGUGUCCGGAGGAGGUUAGACAGAGAAACGUACUUUUCGGGACUUCUCUGUCUUUUCAUCUCCGGAAAUAUGUUUUGUGCAUGCGUGGAUUAAAUAAACUAUUCUGAUUGGUUGUACGCAACAUGAUAUAGUUUCUGCAAACAUGGCGAUGUAGGUAUCUGUGUUGUGCCAGAUAUUGGAUAGCGCUUGAUGGGAUAAAUGAUCUGAUCUUUUAAAAAGAUCUUAAAAAGAAGAAAACUUCACCAUGGUUGAAACAUGUGUCCUUUGCGGUGUGAAGUAUUGUACGAAAAAUAGUGUUUCUUUUCAUUCUUUCCCAACAAAUGAAAAAUAUAAAAAGUUAUGGAUGGAAGCGUACAAUUUAAGUACAAUAAAGAAAAAAAGUAAGAUUUGUUCACGUCACUUCAGUUCUUUACAAUUUAAAGCAUGGAAUGAAGGACGUAGAUUAUUGAAGAACGAUGCAGUUCCAUUAUUAUUUUUUGGAGAAAAUA
rnacentral:misc_RNA from 1 species